GAUGCCCCCCAAUGAUGUUGUUUAUUACACCGACUGAGGGUUGGUUCUCCUGCGGUCCUGCCUGUUGUGGGUGCUCUGCUAGCUGAGGAGAUCUCUACCAUUCUUCCAGCUGCUCCCUCCUUCAUCGGAUGAAACAAUUGAGACAACCAUGCCUGAUGAAAUCUUCAAUCUCAUCUUGGAGUUGAAUACACUCCUCUGUAUUAUGACCAUGAUUUUGAUGGUAUAAAUAGUACUUUUUUGAAUUUCUCCAACUAGAAAGUGUCUGUAGCUUUUUUGCCUUUGGGAGCAGUUCUCAUAUUUCUAUCAACACCUGAAUCCUUAGAGUAUUCAAUGGAGUAUAAUUAUUAUACCUUCUCGAUGGUGAGACAUACCGAUCUCUUCUCUAAGGGCUUCGGGGUCGGUGCUUUCGAGGAGGGGUCUCUUUUUUCAGCUUUCAAGAUGGGGACCUGGAGCGCGGUCAAAUUCUCUCCUCCUGCCCAGGAAACACUCCUUAUUUUGCUUUCCCCCAUGAUGGAACUAGCAGGGGUUUCGUCUUCGAUGAAGACUUCCUCCAUAUGGGUGUAGUUCUCCAUCCGAACCAGCAUAUCAGGAUAAUUUCGAGGAUAGGUUUUCACUAAUGACCUCUUAAGGUCAUUUUUCAAGAGUCUACUCAACAUCGCGAACAUCACGUUUGAUUGGUCCAGAUCACUAACUUCUAGGGUGGCCGCAUUGAAACGGUUGACAAAAGCUCGGAUUGACUCGUCCUCCUUCUGUUUCACAAUGUAGAGGUAGUCGGAUCACUUCUGCUAGCAUC
rnacentral:lncRNA from 1 species